rnacentral:rRNA from 1 species
GUGUCAGCAGCCGCGGUAAUACGGGGGGGGCAAGCGUUGUUCGGAAUUACUGGGCGUAAAGGGCGUGUAGGCGGCCUAGCAAGUCAGCUGUGAAAGCCCCAGGCUCAACCUGGGAAUUGCAUCUGAAACUGCCGGGCUAGAGUUCAGGAGAGGAGGGCGGAACUCCCAGUGUAGCGGUGAAAUGCGUAGAUAUUGGGAGGAACACCGGUGGCGAAGGCGGCUCUCUGGACUGAAACUGACGCUGAGGCGCGAAAGCCAGGGGAGCGAACGGGAUUAGAUACCCCUGUAGUCC